AUCAUUACAAUUUCAACUUGAAGUCAAGAGGGAAUUAAACUAACUAUGUAAUAACAUACUUUAAUUAUUGUUCUAAACACAGAACACCUGCAUGCACUCUUUUGUAUUGCAUAUACACAUACUAAGAAGGUAGACAAACACAGAAAAGAUAGAUAUGCCCCCAAGUUCUAUGUAUGCAAAGUUCCUAGGAAUAAAGAGCAUUUUAAACUUAACCCUUUUACAUAACAUUAGCUGCUGGUAGCACUGCAGUCUUCUUCAUUUAUGAAAAGGCAAGUGCCCACAAAACCAGUUCAAGCUAAUGAGACAGGAUGUCUUGCCCUAGGAAGAGGAGAGGCCCACGCUCAACCUCUGUUUUGUUCCUAAGGGAGCACAGAGAUUAGGGCACCGUUUUUCUCAGUUCUCUUCAACUCUUACCAAUCCUACCCAACAAAAUCCUAUUAACUCUAGAGCUAGCUGUGCAGUACCAGCCACAUUUGAAAUACACACAGGCAAAGACUUAGCUGGCCCACAGUGAUGGCAACAAAUGACUGACCAAACAUUCGUACAGUUCCAAACAAGAUGCAUGAUUUUCCUCCAGCUGUAUUUGCUCUGAGCUCAGAUCUAGCCAUAGGCCUCUUCACUGAAGGGCAGAAACGUCUAGGUUUUAUUGUGUAGCUGACAUAGCAAUACAUCAGGUCACUUUGAACUUCUAUUUGAUUGUAGAUUUCCUCACAGACAGUGAGGGAAGUUUCAGGAAUUCUGGAAGACGACAUAACAUGCUUGUGCUGUCCUUCAUUUCAGCACCAAACUGAACACCAGCUCAAAUUUCAAUUUCUACGCAUGCUAAAAAGGCUGGCUGAGAACGUGAAACACCUUGAUUUCAACACCAUAGAGCCCACACUUGCACAAACCAACACAGAGGAAAAACAAGUGAAGGAGUGAGACUACACAGAAAGGGAGUUGGAACGUCUUCAAACAGCCCAAAGCCAGAGCUACAAAGCCCCCGUCAUGUUGUGAUGAACGAAACAUACACCAUUUCUACCUCAACCUCUUCUCCACCUCACAUUCUCUAGCAAAAGGCCUCUGGACAAACAAAGGCAAUGAAAACACUCCAACUUGGCAAUGAGAACACAGAGCAUCUGUGCAGAGAAAUUAAUAGUUUGUACAAAUUUAUUCACCAUCUAAUUCAAGCAAAACCCCAACCUCUGCAUAGGGGUGGUUAAUGUGAGGUGCACAAGCAUCAGAACAGAGGGUCCCUGGUAGCGCAGGAAGUUUUAAGUGUCUGUAGUGGAGCGGUUUCCUUUCCAGAAUGAAACACAAAUGAGCAGUUUCCCCGCCUGGACGGUUCCUAGCAGUAAUUUUCAAGAUAAAGAUCCUGCAGGCUGCCCACCUCGACAGACUGCUGCGGGCCAUCCCAUUUACUGGCCACCAGGUGCCCAACACGAUCUGUGGGUACCAGGGCCAGGAUAACUCACCAGAAUAACCCUGAUAUCACCAUGAUAACUUAUCUCCCUGCCCAGCUGGGGCACCUCACCAUCAAUCCCCACACCUCAGCACUCCACCACCUGCCCCACUCAGAAUGGCUACACGCAGCAGCUGUGCUGCCCCAGGGGCCACCUACGUGUCCCGGGGGGCCCUACCUGCCCGGGGGGGGGUCCCUAUCCAACCCUGAGGCAGGGGGCA